rnacentral:rRNA from 1 species
AUUGAACGCUGGCGGCAGGCCUAACACAUGCAAGUCGAACGAGUGGCGGACGGGUGAGUAAUGUCUGGGAAACUGCCUGAUGGAGGGGGUUAACUACUGGAAACGGUAGCUAAUACCGCAUACCAUCGGAUGUGCCCAGAUGGGAUUAGCUAGUAGGUGGGGUAACGGAUCACCUAGGCGACGAUCCCUAGCUGGGCUGAGAGGGUGACGAGCGACACUGGAACUGAGACACGGUCCAGAGUAGUACGGGAGGCAGCAGUGGGGAAUAUUGCAGAAUGGGCGAAAGCCUGAGAGAGCAAUGCCGCGUGUGUGAAGAAGGCCGUCGGGUUGUAAAGUACUUUCAGCGGGGAGGCGUUACCCGAAGAAGAAGCACCGGCUAACUCCGUGCCAGCAGCCGCGGUAAUAC